rnacentral:tRNA from 1 species
UCCGCCCUGGUGUAAUGGCAGCACGCAGGCCUUUGGUGCCUUGCGGUCCGGGUUCGAAUCCUGGGGGCGGAGCCG